UCAGUCAUCAACUAGCCUUAACCACCAUACAUUCGGUAUCAAAUUCAUGGCUGUAUGAAGAUUAUGAUGAAGAAUCUUUACAUCAAGAAAUCUGGUUUGACGCCGAAGAUUCAACAACGAUAGGUGAUUUUUAUGAGGAUUAUAAUAACGAACCUAGUCAGCAAGAAGAGAAGGAGGAAGAUAGAAAUGAUAGUUACAAUAAACCAGUUUGUAAGUGUUCGACAAUCACACGAGGUGAAGCUUUAAUAAUGACACUAGCAUUAGGAGCUGAAGAAUCCCUUACAUGGAAAACUAUUAUUUCCAUCUUAUCAAUGAUUAAUACGUUACUCCAAAAUAACGUGAUUCCUGCUUCUAAAUAUAAAUUAUUUAAAACUUUAAAACUCAACGAAAAUAUUCUUGUAUAUCAUGUGUACUGUGAUGAAUGUCAUUAUUAUUUCGGUGCUCGAAACAAACUUAAUAAAGGCGAGUUUCAGUGCAAAGUUUGUGACAAUAAUGAGAAAUCGCCAGAAACUUGUUAUUUUUUAACGUUUGA